rnacentral:rRNA from 1 species
GUAUCAAUAAGCGGAGGAAAAGAAACCAACAGGGAUUGCCCUAGUAACGGCGAGUGAAGCGGCAACAGCUCAAAUUUGAAAUCUGGCUUCGGCCCGAGUUGCAAUUUGCAGAGGAAGAUUCUGGCAACGCGCCGUCCGAGUCCCCUGGAACGGGGCGCCAUAGAGGGUGGAGACGCCCGUGAUGGACCGGAU